rnacentral:lncRNA from 1 species
UAUUAAAGAUAAAUAUAUAACAACAGCCGUACCUGAACUACAAACUGACUGUGAAAUUGUCUGGUGCAAACUUUAACUCAUUGGACACAAAGCCAUAUACUUCAGCUCAUAUUACAACCCCAAAACAUCAAACGAGAAUGGGUACUUAGGACUUGAGAAGAGCCUAACCAGAGCGAACAAUAUAAAAAAAUGCUUUAAUCAUCAUGGCUGGUGAUUUCAACCUACCAGGCUGGGACUGGAAAACCAAAUCACUGAAGCCCAAUACACAGCAUACCAACAUACACCAUAAGUUCACUGACAUCCUGGACGAUCAUGGCUUACAACAAAUGGUAGAGGAACCAACAAGAGAAUCAUACACACUGGAUCUCAUAAUCACGAACUACCCAAACUGCUACAAUAGAGUCGAAACCAUAUAUAUCGGGCAUAUCAGAUCAUGACAUCGUCUUUGCAGAGUUGAACACCAUACCAUAAAAAAAACUCAAAAGCCAAGGAAAAUAUCCUUAUAUAAAAAAGCUAAGCGGGAAAACAUCAAAGAAGAUCUCAAAUUAAUAAAUACAGAUGUUACCAAGAUGAACCAUCAAGAAUGUAGUACACAAGAAAUGUGGGACUAUUUUCAAGGUAAACUUGAAAAUACUAUAAAUGCCAACAUAUCACAAAAAACAGCUAGAACAAAAGACGGUAACCCUUGGAUUACGACAGACAUCAAACGCUCAUAAAGAAAAGAGAAAAAACUUUACAAUAAAAAGAAACAAGAAUCGCU